GCGUAAGUGAAAUUCCCCUAAAUAUUCGUGUGUAUUUGUAUAUUUAAUUAUGUCUGUCAGAUUGAUCUCAAUAUACGUUUUUAUUUUGUUAGGGCAAUACUAAAAUUUAGAUCGAAAAAGAAUUAUCGUAAUAGGAAGGACAUUACCUGGGUCAGAGUUCAGGUAUAUAUUAAGUAUCUUAUUUUUGCUUAUAAUAGUGUUUGUUUUUUGCUUAUAAUAGUGUUUGUA
rnacentral:lncRNA from 1 species